GUACUCCAGCCUGGGUGACAGAGCAAGACCCUGUCUCAAAAAAUAAGUAAAUAAAUAAAAAGGUGGGGGGUGGAAAUGACAGGACCAUGCCUGUACCUUCCACCCCAAGAGCUGUGAUGGGGAUGAACUGAAGGGGCUGAGGCUCUCCUGAAAGGUGGGCUGGAGGGCAGAUAUUAGAAUGAGCUCCUGAACUCAGGAAUAGGCAGCAUGAUGGGUUCAAGAGAAACAGAAAUCUUCAAGAGGGAAGACAUUGAUCUGAGGGGCUUGCGGGGAGAAUGGAGUGUUGAGGUUUUUUUGGCUGAAGCAACUGGGUGGACAGUGGUAAAGCCAGAGUCAGAAAAGGAGGUGGGAGAGGUCAGCGCCUGGGAAGGGGAAAAUCCAGACCUGAGCUCCCGAGGCCUCUCCCCAUAUUAUUAAUCUCCUGCUGUAUAUACAUGUUUGCUUUUGAAGGACAUUUUCCCUCCAUGCUUUGAAGCCACUUAAUUCAUUAGUUCUUUAUCAUUUAUGUCCUAUUUCAUUAUGUUAUAAUCUUUACAGUUGUUAAUUUGCAUUUCAUUUCCUGCAGUGACAAAAAAAUUCUACCCAUGAAAAAUGUUAUUGUUGUAAAUAUUAAUACAAGUCACAAAUGAUCACCAUCCAGACCCAUUUAUCAUAGCAGCGGCUCCCUUUGUCUGAGGCUGGGUGGAUUCAGGAUAAUUAUUAAAAGCUAGAGCUCUGUAUGCCCCCAGGGCUGAAAGAAGCAGAGCUGGUCACAAGCCCUGAGACAAUGUUAAAAGAGGCAGAAAAAACAGUACCUGACUACAGCCGACUACCUGCAUUUGUACCUCCUGUGUCACUCUUGACACAGACCUCACACUGCCUGCACCUGAGCUUUUCAGAGGCCAAAGAAGGACAGAUGGCUGCUUUCAUGCCCAGCAGGGGAGAGUCUGUGACCGGGAGGAUGGAGCAGGGAAGGAGCCGAGGGCUGUACAUGAGGUUUCCAGCUGCAAAUAAGCAUUAUCUGGUCCUGGCAGAUGGUAGAUGCACCUGACAACAAUAACUUAACCAUACCCUGAGAAUGACCCUGGAUGGCAGAUGUACCUGACAGCAGUGGCGUGGUUUGAGAAAUGAGAGUUGCACAAAGAGGUUUCUGUGGGGAGGGUGCCAAAUGAAGGUACUAUAUAAGCUGCAUGCUUUUUUUUUUUUUUUUUUUGAGACAGAGUCUCGCUCUGUUACCCAGGCUGGACUGCAAUGAUGUGAUCUCGGCUCACUGCAACCUCUGCCUCCCGGGUUCAAGUGGUUCUCUCACCUCUGCCUCCUGAGUAGCUGGGACUGCAGGCACAUGCCACCAUGCCUGGCUAAUUUUUGUAUCUUUAGUAGAGAUGGGGUUUCACCAUAUUGGCCAGGCUGGUCUUGAACUCCUGACCUCAAGUGAUCCACCCGCCUCGGCCUUCCAAAGUGCUGGGAUUACAGGCGUGAGCCACCAUGCCUGGCCAAGCUGCAUGCUUUUUGCAAGCAAUUGUAGUUCUUCUGUCUAGCCCACAGUCACUGGACUGUCCCUGUAUGUAAGUUCCCCUAAAUAAAACCCUAUGUCUCUUUUGCUGGCUUUGGGUCUCUUCUUCAGCCUCUUAAACCUGGUGCCAUCACUAUUGGAGUGAACAGGGGUCUAGCACAACAGUGGGGACCCA
rnacentral:lncRNA from 1 species